rnacentral:rRNA from 1 species
CCUACGGGUGGCUGCAGUCGAGGAUCUUCCGCAAUGGGCGAAAGCCUGACGGAGCGACGCCGCGUGGGCGAUGAAGGCCUUCGGGUUGUAAAGCCCUGUCGAGAGUUAGGAAAUGCGGUGGGGAAUAAUACCCCUGCCGUUUGACAAAGGCUCUGGAGGAAGCCACCGCUAAUUACGUGCCAGCAGCGGCGGUAAGACGUAAGUGGCAAGCGUUGUUCGGAAUCACUGGGCAUAAAGGGCGCGUAGGCGGCGCUGUACGUCAGGGGUGAAAUCCCCCGGCUCAACCGGGGAAUUGCCUCUGAAACUGCAGUGCUCGAGGCCGCGAGGGGAGCGUGGAACUCUUGGUGGAGCGGUGAAAUGCGUAGAUAUCAAGAGGAACGCCGGAGGCGAAAGCGACGCUCUGGCGCGGUACUGACGCUGAGGCGCGAAAGCUAGGGGAG